CCCUGCAAGUGCUCACACCCCGUGUAGCCGAGGCCUCAGUGCCAUGGGUUAGUGGUGGCCUGGGCAGUCCUGGGGAAUGGCUGGACUUUAUGAGCUUAAAGGUCUUUUCCAACCUGGUUGAUUCUACAAUUCUAUGGGGUUUUAAU